UUUGAGUAGUUUAUUUAGAAUUAUAAUUUGUGGUAUUAUAGGUGAAUAUUUUUCCUCAAGUC
rnacentral:tRNA from 1 species